AGUGAACGCUGGCGGUAGGCCUAACACAUGCAAGUCGAACGGCAGCACAGUAAGAGCUUGCUCUUACGGGUGGCGAGUGGCGGACGGGUGAGGAAUACAUCGGAAUCUACUUUUUCGUGGGGGAUAACGUAGGGAAACUUACGCUAAUACCGCAUACGACCUACGGGUGAAAGCAGGGGAUCUUCGGACCUUGCGCGAUUGAAUGAGCCGAUGUCGGAUUAGCUAGUUGGCGGGGUAAAGGCCCACCAAGGCGACGAUCCGUAGCUGGUCUGAGAGGAUGAUCAGCCACACUGGAACUGAGACAAGGUCCAGACUCCUACGGGAGGCAGCAGUGGGGAAUAUUGGACAAUGGGCGCAAGCCUGAUCCAGCCAUACCGCGUGGGUGAAGAAGGCCUUCGGGUUGUAAAGCCCUUUUGUUGGGAAAGAAAAGCAGCAGGUUAAUACCCCGCUGUUCUGACGGUACCCAAAGAAUAAGCACCGGCUAACUUCGUG
rnacentral:rRNA from 1 species